AUGGCGGGCGGGGCUCGUGAGGCGGAACGCGGCCUCCACAGGAUGCCCCGACACGGGGACACCGCGAAGAGACUCGGCCGGGACGGCAGGAGCGCUGCGGGGAGCUGGGAGGAGCUGAGCUGUGGAGGUGAGCGAGGGCCGGGAGGCGGCCCACACAGCGGGCUGUGCGAAUGGGGCGGAGCGGGCGCGGCGCCUAUAGCAACAGCGGCCGCAAACACCGCCGGAGCGUCCCGGAGCGGGGCGGGCAGCGCGGAGGAGCCGGGCCGGGCUGACGGGCACACGGGCGUUCUGCGGGAACCCGAUGGCGGCUGCCGGAGCCUUCGCCUGUCCCCGCUGCCGCUUGGCCUUCGGCUCCUUGGCGCUGCUCAGGGCGCACCGAGAGCGGUUCUGCAUCGGGGCCCCGGCGGGCGGCGGGACCGGGGAGGAGCCGGGAAGGGCGGCGGGACGGCGGGAGCGAGCGGUAAUGCGGGACGGGUCCGCGGGACGAGGACGUGCAGUCCCAGCAGCCGCAGCUCCGUGCUGCAUGUCCGCGUGCUGCUGAGCGAUUCCCAUCCCGUUCGCCUCUUCAAGGUCACGAUGUCCCAGCACGAGGAUCAGCCCAAGCGACGCCAUGUGCUCCUGCUCUCCGGGCUCCCUCGGUCCCCUCUGGGACGUGAGGGCCCGGGCCGAGCCCGUGGGGCGCCCCUGGGUGACAUCCUCACACCCCGUGAGCGGGCGCUGCUCCGUGCCCCUGCUGUCAGCCGGCCGGCACAGCGGGGAGAGCCCAGCCCACCGCGGGGGGACCCACGAGUCCCGGAGCUGCUGGAGGCUCAUCAGCGCCACGUGGCUGAAAUCCGGGCCAGGACCCAGCAGCUGGAGCAGCAGAGAGAGCAGCUGAGCCGGCGCCUGGCAUUGCUGUGCAACAAGCAACUGUCACCAGAAAUGAACCGAGUCACGGAGGUGCCGUCAGACAGAGCUGGACACCAGCACCAAGGGGCUGCUGUCUACCUCGACACCCUCCUGCCACCCUCCGGGCCGCUGGCAGCUGAGGCCAGGGCACUGCGGCUCUCCUACCUGCGGGCUGGUGGCCACGAUGAGGCCACCCUGGCACAGCUGUUAGACCUCCAGCUGGAGGCCACGGCACUGGAGAAAAGGGCUGCACAGAAGAUGAGUAAGAACCAGCCCCAGCACAGAGCCCAGGGACAGGACCCCAUUGCUGUUGAGGCAGCACGGGGCCUGGAUGCGGCGCUGAUGGCUGUGGAGAUGGAGAACCAAAGGCUUGAGGGUGAGCUCCUGGCACUGAAGGUCCGGAGAGAGAUGCGAGCUGAUGUCGGAUCGCUGGCAUCCCAGCAGCGUGCAGAGGAGCUGGCUCAGCUGCAGGCAAAGAUGGAGAUUCUGCUGCGACGCCAAGCAGAGGGGAUGGGGCCGCGUCUGCCCCCUGCCGUCCUCCCACCGCCCGUGGCCCCUCCGCUCUCCCCAGCCUUCGCUCUAGCGGAUCCACUGAGGCCGACCCCGAGGACAGGAAGCCCCACAGCCUCCAGCCGCCCACUGGUGCCCUCCAGCCUCCCCAGCAUUCCCUUCGGAGCCCUGGAUGACCCCCCUCCUACUUAG
ensembl:lncRNA coiled-coil domain containing 17